GGCUGCACCUGUGGCAUAUGGAAGUUCCCAUGCUUGGGGUUGAAUCUGAGCUACAGACGCUGGCCUACACCACAGCCACGGCAACUCAGGAUCUGAGCCACAUCUGUGACCUGCACCAUAGCUCACAGCGAUGCUGGAUUUCUGACCCACUGAGUGAGGCCAGGAAUUGAACCCGAGUUCUCAGUUCCUGGCAGUUUAGAAAGGCCACUUCACUGAAGCUCACAUUCAAUAUCAUCUAUAGGUUGCAGAGCAAACUUGGAAAAUGGUGAAGGGCUGUUAGCCUUGCUGCCUCCUCUCUCCUGCGUAGUGUUCAAAGUCUGGCCAUCGGACCUGGAGAUUCAGACCAAGUGCCCCCACGAUGAGCUGUUAAUUUCCUGAUCCGACAUCCAGGGGUGGAAAUGCAGGCAGAGUUUUCUGAUCAUGUGGAACUUGGGUACCAAGCCAUCCUGAGCCACAGCCAGACACACUCGCGUGAUCCUAACACCCAACACAAAACAGCAACUGGGAGGAGUUUUUAAUUUCUCUUUUCUCCUCAUCCAAAAGCCUCAAUCCUGGCCUUGUUUUCAAAGAUCAUUUCAAUCCAUGUUCUUAAAUCCAUUCAUGCAGGUUUGCUAAAGAGGCAGAAUGCAUAUGCCCAAAGAAAGAAAGUUAGUUUACUGUUACUGGAGGUGGGGUACGAACAUAGACGGAAAUGGGCGUUUAAUGGAAGAAUGGAACAUUCCAUGCUCAACUGGGAAAAUUACACACUCUGCAGGGUCACAGGAGAAAAACUCUGCCAGAGAUCUUGAACCUGAUCUAAUUUCAGCUAACUUGGUACCAGAGGCACCUGCUAUAUGUACAACUGGUUAACCCUUUAACCACCCUGACCUCCCUACUAUCUGUUAUUGUGAUACCAGCUACCUUUACUCAGCAGAUUUCCACUCAAGGUCAUGUUUCAGUUGCAAUGUCACAACCUGUUAUUCACUCAUGACUUGGAUAAUUUAAUGGGACUCCUUUCUCACACUUUAUAUAGUCCUGGAUGGGGCAAUCCAGGUUUGAAGAUGGCAAGGUCUCAUUCUGUCUGGACCAGAGAUGCCAGGUUUGCAUAAGAAUUUUGUACCCGUGGCACGGACAGUCCAGCAGACACCUCACCCAGCCUAUCAGGUGUUUUUCAAACUCACACGGAUACAGGAAAGUCAUGGUCUUAGAAGAGGAUUUAUAGACCUACUGCACACCACAGGUGAAAGUUAGAUGUGUUUCCUUUAAACUUCCAAAAGCUAUCCUCCACCAUAUUUAUAGAGAGAGCUGGGAUGCGUAGUUUUUCUGGUGUUUUGUUAAGCCAUGAAAAAGAGACCUACCUUCAAAGAAUGGAUUAGUGUGCGUUUUUAUACCAAUAAGGAUAUGCUAGACAUUUUCACUCAAGUUUCUCUAGGUAUGCAAAAACAUUCUACAUUCUUCGACUUAAAUUUUACGUGUAAUAUUUGUGGUAAAUGAUUUUAUGUUUCAUAUAGAAGUAUAUACCAUAUAUAAUAAACACCUCUAGUAUAAGUAUAAAAUAAAUGAAGUAAAAUAAUAUAAUCAACAUAUUAUACAUAUUUAUAUUAGAUAAUCUAAUAAAUAUAAAUAUAUUAGAGAUGAUUAUUAAACAUAACAUAUAUUCACUACGAAUGUAUCUAUUUGUUCUAUUUCUCUGGAGAACCCUAACACAACCUUCCUGAGCAAUUAUUAAAUUCUCAGACUUCUUUUUAGGUUUGCAAACAGUAUCGUGGUUUGAGAUAUAAGUAUUUGCUACAUGUGAUUAUUACACUCUGUUCUCCCUCAUUUACAUCUGUUACACUGCUUAUUUAUUUUGAUUAUUCCUCCUAAAUUAAAAUUUAAAAGUUUCCUUACCACAUAUUCCUUGCAUGCUGCUACUCUUUUUUUUUUCUCUUGCAAAAUUCUUCUAGAGAGCUGUCCAGAUAAAGGUACCCCAUCUCUCCUUUUCAAGCCUCUCCUGAAUGACUUGAAAGCCAAGUUCAGAAUGUGGCUUGCAUCACCAAUGCAGAUGUGAGCCAAAUAUGAAGCAAGGAUGACUGACUGGGAUGCACUCCCAUUUCAGUGAUCUCCAACCAUUAAAUGCAAUGGACCAGGUCAAGUUCUUACCUUAGGAGACAUUCUGACGGAGGCAUGUCCCAUGCCGCUUCUGAGAAGAACCAGGUAAUAUCAUUGCAGGGUGCAGGGCAAAGUCCUGUUUUUCCCUUUGCCAUGAAAACAGGCUCCUUGCACAGAAAGAGCCACUUCCUCUUGUGUCCUGAAAUGAGAAAAUAUGGAAUGGAUAAGCAAUGAUAUCCUGCUUUGUAGCACAGGGAACUAUAAAUAAUCACAUGUGAUGGAACAUGAUGGAGGAUAAUGUGAAAAAAAUGUAUAUAAAUGUAUAACUGGGUCACUUUGCUGUACAGAAAAAAUUGACAGAACACUGUCAAUCAACUAUAAUAAAAACAAUUUAAAAAACAAACACAUGGAGCAGAGCCUUAUGUGAGCCUCCUCUUGCCCAGCCAGGAGGUUGCAUUAAAUACUGACAGGCGUCAAGCACCUGUGAUGUGGGAUGUUUGGGACACCAGCCAUGGGGGCUCACAGAGAUGUCUGAUACAUUCUCACACAUCCUAUGUGCAAACACAGACUCUGCCAAAGUAAGCAGCCUAACACCCUAUGAGCCUGGGAGCAGGAAAGCUCAUGUUUUUUUUUUUUUUUUUUUUUUUUUUUNCUUCUGAAGGAGCCUGCUCUUUAUUCCCAUCCUUUGGAAACGUCUCCAGGAGUCUGAGAGAUUUUUUUUCUAAGUUUUUAAACUUUUCUUGAAGUACAGUUGAUGUGCAAGAUUCUGAUCAUUUCUGCUGAACCACAAAAGUGAUUCAGGUAUACAUGUGCACACAUCCAUAGUCUUUCAGAUUCUUCUCCCACAUAGAUGGUCACAGAAUAUGGGAUAGAGUCUAUGUGCUAGACAGUAGGUCCCAAUUGGCCGGUUAUUCCAUUUACUUCAUGUUCAUAUGCUAAUUCCAAACAUCCAUCCCUCCCUCCACACCUGUCCACUUUGGUAACCAUAAGUUUAUUUUCAAUGUCUGUGAGUCUGUUUCUGCUCUGAAAAUAAGUUCAUUUGCAUUCCUUUUUAAGAUUCCACAUGUAAAUGAUAGAGUAUAUUUGUAUUUAUCUCUGACUAACUUCACUUAGUAUGAGAAUCUUUAGGUCCAUCCAUGUUGCUGCAAAUGGCAUUAUUUCAUUCUUUUUUUUAUGGCCAAGUCUCUGCCCCCUUUUUUUUUAAAACCUCCUACCAAUGUCUAUAAAGUCAUGGGGUCAUUUCUCCUUGAACUGUAAAUACCGUUAGUGGACAUAGUCUUCUAUGGAACUUAGAGCUUAAUCUAAAGAUAAGUAUGAGCUUUAAUCAACUGCUUUUGGGGAAGAUAAGGGACAUUUUACUAUCCUGUUUGAUCAAAGCAAUUAUUUCCUUCAUUAGAAAAACAAAUGCCGAUGAUUGAGUACAGAAAAACCUUCAACCAAGUAGACUAGACUACAAACUAAAAAAAGAUUUCCUACUCCAGAAGACAAAAAGGAGUCCACAUCAAAAUGGUAGGGGGGCGAUUACAGAAUAUAACCACCAGGUAGAGGGCCCACAGACUGGAAAGUAUCUGUAUCACAGGGACUCACUUAUGGGAGUGAGAGUUCUGAGCCCCAUGUCAGGUCCUCAUGCCUGAGGAUCUGGUAUUGAAGGCCAGUGGGACUUGUACACAGAAGCCCCACAAGACUCAGGAAAAUGGAUAUUCCACUCUUGAAAGGUAUACCCAGAUUUUCCUGUGCACUGGGUCCCAGAGCCAAUCAGAGACUCCACAGGAAUCUGGGUCAGACCUGACUGCAGUUCUUGGAGGGUCUCCUGGGAAAACAGGGGGUGACUGGCGCUCAUUGGGGGGAAGGUCAUUGGAGGCAAAGGUCUCAAGAAUAAUCAUCAGCAUGUGCUCCUCUAGAGGUGGCCAUUUUGGGAAAAUCUGGACCCACCCAUUAGGGCUGAGAGGCUUCAGGUCAACAAUAAUCCAGGUGGGAACAUAGCCCCAACCAUCAACAAACAGUCUGCCUAAAGUCACCCUAGGCACACAGCUGCCUCUAGUCUUACACAGAGACAAAGCCCCAUCCACCAGAGGGAUAAGAAUCAGCUCCACUUACCAGUGGGCAGGCACCAGUCCCUCCCAUCAGGAAGCCUACAGCGAGCCCCGUUAUCAACUCCAACCACAAUAGGGGCAGAUCUCAGAAGUAAGAGAGCCUACAACUUGAUUGUCUGCAAAAAGGAGACCACACCAAAAAUCUAUACAAAAUGAAAAGGCAAAGAAUUAUGACUCAGAUAAGCAAUAAAGAAAAAAAAACCUAGAAAAAUUGUUAAGUGAUCUGGAGCUUACCAACUUUCAUGAAAAAGACUUUAGACUGAUGCUAGUAAAGAUGAUUCAAGAACUUGGAAAUUAGCUGGAGGCAAAGACUGAUAAAUUACAAGAAAUAUUGGGCAAAGAAAUAGAAGAAUUAAGGACUAAGCAAGCAGAGAUGCAAAAUAUAGGAGGUAGAAGAAUGAAUAAGCAAGGUAGAGGACUGACUAGUAGAAAUCACCAAUACAGAAGAGAAAAGAGAAAAGAAGACUGAAAAGAAAUUAAGAAAGUCUAAGAGAACACUGGUGUUAACGGCACUAACAUCUGCAUGGGGUGCCAGAUGAGAAGAGAGAGAGGGGACCAGAGAAAAUAUUUGAAGAGAUAACAGCUGAAAACUUCCCUAACAUGGGAAAGGAAUCACUCACUCAAAU
rnacentral:lncRNA from 1 species